CCAGACGGCCGGACGGCCGCUGACGCCUCCUCGGAGGUGUUGGAGGAAAGUCCGGGCUCCACGGGAACGCGGUGCCGGCUAACGGCCGGCGGGGGUAACCCCAGGGAAAGUGCCACAGAAAACAAACCGCCCGCGCAAG
rnacentral:RNase_P_RNA from 1 species